AUGUAUAAAAAUGGAUAAGGACGGUACUUACUGCAUAAAGCUAGGGAAUAUGACCUUGAGAAAAGUUUUAAAAUGUUGACACCAUCACUAAUUAAGGCCUUUAAGGUUAAUAUUUUGACAGCUGAAUUUUAGCUCAGAAAAAUUAUUUUUCUUCUAAUUUAUUGAUAAUAUCACGUGAAUAAUUUAUAAGGAAUACUCAUGUUAGGAAAAAUAGAUCCCGAAACGAAUCAAAUUUCUAUGCAACAAUCAACACCAGUGCCUAUAACGUCUGAAAACGGGCAGACAACUUAUCAGACAAUACAAAAAACUGACUCUAUUUCAUCAGAAAGAGUAAUCAUUAAAACAGAGAGUCAACCCAUUGUUUUUGUUAAUGUAAAAAUAGAAUUACCAAUAAUGGAAAAAAAGAAAAACAAAAAGGAACACCUUGCACAUGCCCUAAUUGUCUAAAAACAGGACGGAAAAAAAUAACAGACCCAAGAAAGCUACACAAUUGUCAUAUACCUGGAUGUAAUAAGGUUUUUUUAAAAACAUAUCAUUUACAAGCCCAUUUACGCUCACAGCUGGUGAAAGACCCUACAUCUGUAAUUGGUUAUAUUGUGAAAAAAGUUUUACAAGAAUAGACUGUCUUCAAAGGCAUACAAGAACACAUACUAAAGAGGCAAGAUUUGUGUGUACAAAGUGUAACAUAAAGUUUCUUAGAAAAGAUUAUUUUACAAAACAUAUCAAAAAACAUCACAAGAAAAGGACAAAAAAAACCAAUGUUGAGGAUAUAGAAGUGAAAGUUGAAUUUCCAAACAGUGAAGAUGAAAUUCUUGGUGAGGUGAUAUCUGAUAUAGAAAUUAGAGAAUCUAAUCAGACUGAAUCAGGAAAAGUUAAAAAGUGGUUAUUUGGAAAUCAGAGUUGUGAUAGUAACGAAGAUAUUGGAGAAAUAAACACAUCAACUCAAUCAGUAUCUGGAGAUAGUUCCAAUUUUGAUGAAGAAUUAAUGAUUCCUAUAGAUGAAACAAAUGAUACAAUUUUAACAGAUCCUCUGGAUGUUUCAACUGCUUAGAAUAAGUUAUUAUGUCAGUAUUAUAAUUUUAAAUUUAAAUAUAUUUUUAUAUAUAUC